UUGGUCCUGCGUGAUAUUUCGGGUUCUCCAAGCUAGCUCAGCUGUUCAGGGCCGUGGUUCCCCGAACCCUGCCCGAUCACACACUCACAGAAAUCAACGCCGGACUCACAUUUAUAUGAAACCGACGUUAUACAACACCAUCCUCUGCACCGUAACAUAAUAACUCACCUUUAAAUUCAAAUUCCCUACACACGAACUGGACUACUGGUAUUUGACCUGGUCUGGACCAUCCUGUUGGACUGGAGGUCACAUGCUCAUCCCUCCCGACCUUGCGAACUGCUUUGAGCAAACUUAUUCCGCAGCCGCCCCUAAUUUUCCUGAUCCUCCUUACUGUUUCCUACAUACCCAUCCUUACGUGGCUUCUCCUCCCAUUCAAUUAACUCUACUCCAUAUUUACUGCCAUAACUUAACGUUUAUUAUACAAAAUCAUGAGAUACAUUUAGGGUUUACCUUUGAACCCUAUUCGCCAAAUCCCUUCUUUACGACUCUCUUUUACGCUUGUUCCUAAUCCUACCGUAAGAGCUCUCAAGGUGGAAACUUUUCACUUAAGCACAGAUAUUUAAAUUAACAAAAUUUGGGACAACAUAACUGGCACUGGUUCAGAGAUCCCUUUAAGGAAAAUACUUUUGUAACCCACUUUUUAAGAUGUACAUUGUAUGUGUAAAUAGGGAUGUAGAUAGUAUGGGUAUAAAAAUGUAGAUAACAUAUAAAUGUAGAUAAUAUAAGUAAAUUGACAAGGAAUAAUUGGUUGGUGAAUAAAUAAAUGAAAUAAAUAAAUAAAUGGAGAUAAUAAAUAGCACGAAUAAUUGAAUAAAUAAAAUAAUAAAUAAGACGAACAAGACAAUAUAAAAACAAAAUUUCAAUUGUACUAAAACUAAUAAUAAAAAAAAAUGGACUGAAGCCGAAAGGCUCCCGUUGCCGCCACUUGGAAGGCGUGUCGGUCUUCCACGACGAAAAAAAAUCAAUUUUACUCCUGAUGCUGGCCAGGGAAAUCUUCACGCCAGAUAAUAAGUCCUGGUUUCUGGUUUUUUCCGUAUUUGAUGACCGAACUAUUUCUUUAAUUUAAUUUGGUGUCACUGGCGCGCUGCUGCUGCUCGAAUUAGAUUUGCAAAUAUUUUAUAAAUAAUUUAACCCGCCUUUUCACUCUUAGACGUAUGCAAUCUUUUUUUUGCACGUGCAACGCGAGACUUGGAAAAAUUUGUGUGAGCGCAGCAGACGUAACGCCCUUGACCGUGACUUUCGUUCUGAUCAGCCUAUUCCCUAUUCCCUACCGUCAACCCGAAUUCCGGGUCUCCGUUAUUCGAAUUUUCCGGGUCAACGGCCGGAUAACAUUCGGGUGACCAGGUCAAGCCAGUCCUAUUUCUGGUAUUUAAGCAACCCUGCUUUUUCCCAGAGAUUGCCAUCGAUAAGCCGGGUGACCACCCUGCGCCCACAUUCGAUAUUAGUAUCGAUAGGCCGGCCACAACAACCACACUGACAAUGAACAACAAAAUCAAAACAAAAGAACUAAAACAAGAGAAUUGGCAGUGAAAAACUGGCCACAAACCCGGAUAAUUUCAACCCACGGAUUUGCGACCACGCAGGACAACGAAGCACCUUCUUAAGCGCCCAACGAGAGAAAACGCCCACAGCUACCGGAUUAACUCUGGCCACAAUGGAUGCGCAUUAAUCCGGACGGAUGAUCUGCCCUGUGUCCUGGCCUGUGUUACAGGUAUAAUCUCUUUCCCAAUCCGGAAGCUACUUCCUCCCUUAUUGUGAGAGCAAAGGACAUCCGGUUACACCUCGACCGCAGCAGAACAUUGGACUAAUAUUUGACCAUGAACUGGACGUCGGAUGCUGGAGAGUUAUUUUACGGAAAGGAAACAAAUAGAAUUAGUUAUGACAUUUAGUUUUACAUUUGCGUUACAUUUUUAAUCUAUUUUUGUAUCUUCUGACCAGUUUAAUUAAACUAAUUUAUUUUUUUAAAAGAUA